rnacentral:rRNA from 1 species
CAGUAGCCACGGGAAUACGAAGGGUGCAAGCGUUAAUCGGAAUUACUGGGCGUAAAGCGUGCGUAGGCGGUGAGUUAAGUCUGCUGUGAAAUCCCCGGGCUUAACCUGGGAACUGCGCUUGUGACUGCACAGCUAGAGUAUUGCAGAGGGGGGUGGAAUUCCACGUGUAGCAGUGAAAUGCGUAGAGAUGUGGAGGAACACCGAUGGCGAAGGCAGCCCCCUGGGCCAAUACUGACGCUCAUGCACGAAAGCGUGGGGAGCAAACAGGAUUAGAUACCCCCGUAGUCCCUGUCUCUUAUAC